GAGGAAUAUUGGUCAAUGGGCGAGAGCCUGAACCAGCCAAGUAGCGUGCAGGAAGACGGCCCUAUGGGUUGUAAACUGCUUUUGUAUGGGGAUAAGGUCAAUCACGUGUGAUUGUUUGCAGGUACCAUACGAAUAAGGACCGGCUAAUUCCGUGCCAGCAGCCGCGGUAAUACGGAAGGUCCGGGCGUUAUCCGGAUUUAUUGGGUUUAAGGGGAGCGUAGGCUGGAGAUUAAGUGUGUUGUGAAAUGUAGACGCUCAACGUCUGACUUGCAGCGCAUACUGGUUUCCUUGAGUACGCACAACGUUGGCGGAAUUCGUCGUGUAGCGGUGAAAUGCUUAGAUAUGACGAAGAACUCCGAUUGCGAAGGCAGCUGACGGGAGCGCAACUGACGCUGAAGCUCGAAGGUGCGGGUAUCGAACAGGAUUAGAUACCCUGGUAGUCCGCACAGUAAACGAUGGAUGCCCGCUGUUGGUACCUUGUAUCAGCGGCUAAGCGAAAGCAUUAAGCAUCCCACCUGGGGAGUACGCCGGCAACGGUG
rnacentral:rRNA from 1 species